rnacentral:rRNA from 1 species
CGUAGGGAGCGAGCGUUGUCCGAAGUUACUGGGCGUAAAACGCGCGUAGGCGGGCCAUUAAGUGAGAGGUGAAAUUCCAGGGCUCAACCCCGGAACUGCCUCUCAUACUGUUGGUCUUGAGUGAGGUAGAGAGAAGUGGAAUGGCUGGUGUAGCGGUGAAAUGCGUAGAUAUCAGUCGGAACACCGGUGGCGAAGGCGGCUUCUUGGGCCUUUACUGACGCUGAGGCGCGAAAGCCAGGGGAGCGAACGGGAUUAGAUACCCCGGUAGUCCUGGCCGUAAACGAUGGAUACUAGGUGUAGGGGGUAUCGACCCCUCCUGUGCCGCAGCUAACGCAUUAAGUAUCCCGCCUGGGGAGUACGGCCGCAAGGUUG